AAGCCAGGCAAUUAAUCUGUUUGUCUGAAUGUGUUUUCACAGAAAUUUGGAAACAGCUGGCAAUAGUGAUGCCAUUUUAUGAGGCUUAAGGACAACUGAGGUCAUUACUGUCCUUCAGAAUGGCUACAAUA
ensembl:snoRNA